rnacentral:rRNA from 1 species
UACGUAGGGUGCGAGCGUUAAUCGGAAUUACUGGCGUAAAGCGUGCGCAGGCGGUUGUGCAAGACAGAUGUGAAAUCCCCGGGCUUAACCUGGGAACUGCAUUUGUGACUGCACGGCUAGAGUGUGUCAGAGGGGGGGGUAGAAUUCCACGUGUAGCAGUGAAAUGCGUAGAUAUGUGGAGGAAUACCGAUGGCGAAGGCAGCCCCCUGGGAUAACACGUGACGCUCAUGCACGAAAGCGUGGGGAGCAAACAGG